CUCGUCUACUGUUCGUGCUUCAGAGGCGAACCAGAGUUAGUUGCUUGCCGGUAUUUCACGCGGAUUAGCAAGCUGGUUAUGAUCUGAGAGAGUCGGGUGAUCUCCGCAUUUACUUUUCCUCGGAGGUUCCAUUAUUUUGAUAUAUUGUCAAACUAUUUUAUUCUUAGACCGCAGUAGUUGAUUAGACGUCUUUACUAUUAUUACAGUUGUUUUGUCGGAUU